GGAAGUCAUACACCUGUCCCAAAAACAGAAACCAGGCCAAACAGAAAAUUGAUACCAAAAACUGUUACCUACGGCAGCAAUUUGAACAAACAAUGGGAAAAGUUCUACCAAGACAAAGUUCUGAAUAAGAAGACCCAUGACUCUGACUUCCUCUCAACCCUGUGCAGGAUGCUGAAACACUGAACUGGUGAUUUAAACCCACAUAAUGAAGGACUCCCACAGCAGCCAGGCCAGCCAUUUCACCACUGGCCUGAUGACUCCCAGCUCCCAGGGCUCAACUGAAACCUCAGAAAUAACUCUCUCUGCGCAGCUGAAGGGACACCUGGAACACGUGGUGAUUCCCAAAAAGUGUUUUAAAAAUUCCUCUCCAAUUGCAUCAGAAGAUACUUAUCUAUUAAAGGAAAUGCAAAAAUCAAGCAGAGGAUGCUUAAGAUGGCAAAAAAAAAAAAAAAAAAAAAAGGAAAGAAAGAAAGAAAGAAAAGGAAACAAGAAUCUAUAGAGUACCAUCACACAACCUUACCUAAUAUUUUGCAAAAUGUCUUGGAGAAAAUCAGAGACAUCCAGAUGUAGGUGGUCCAAGUUGAGGACUUCAUCAUUUUCACCCCUCAAGAGAGUGAGUUAUCCUACCAAAGGGAUAGCCAGAUGUCCUCACAUCAGUGAAUAAUCAGUCUUUCCCUCAAUUGUUUGAAAUGUCACAUCCAUCAUAUACUCCUUUGCAUUGUAUAUUGAUUCCUUUCUGGACUCCUGGUUCCAAAUGACCA